rnacentral:rRNA from 1 species
GAACGGCUGGGUAAUACAUCGGAACCUGUCCUGUAUUGGGGGAUAGCCCGGCGAAAGCCGGAUUAAUACCGCAUACGCUCUGCGGAGGAAAGCGGNGGAUCUUCGGACCUAGCGCUACAGGGGCGGCCGAUGGCAGAUUAGCUGGUUGGUGGGGUAAAGGCCUACCAAGGCGACGAUCUGUAGCUGGUCUGAGAGGACGACCAGCCACACUGGGACUGAGACACGGCCCAGACUCCUACGGGAGGCAGCAGUGGGGAAUUUUGGACAAUGGGCGCAAGCCUGAUCCAGCAAUGCCGCGUGUGUGAAGAAGGCCUUCGGGUUGUAAAGCACUUUUGUCCGGAAAGAAAACCUCUGCCCUAAUACGGUGGGGGGAUGACGGUACCGGAAGAAUAAGCACCGGCUAACUACGUGCCAGCAGCCGCGGUAAUACGUAGGGUGCAAGCGUUAAUCGGAAUUACUGGGCGUAAAGCGUGCGCAGGCGGUUCGCUAAGACAGAUGUGAAAUCCCCGGGCUUAACCUGGGAACUGCAUUUGUGACUGGCGGGCUAGAGUAUGGCAGAGGGGGGUAGAAUUCCACGUGUAGCAAUGAAAUGCGUAGAGAUGUGGAGGAAUACCGAUGGCGAAGGCAGCCCCCUGGGCCAAUACUGACGCUCAUGCACGAAAGCGUGGGGAGCAAACAGGAUUAGAUACCCUUGUAGUCCACGCCCUAAACAAUGUCAACUAGUUGUCGGGUCUUCAUUGACUUGGUAACGUAACUAACNCCUGAAGUUGACCGCCUGGGGAGUACGGUCGCANGAUUAAAACUCAAAGGAAUUGACGGGGACCCGCACAAGCGGNGGAUGAUGUGGAUUAAUUCNAUUCAACCCGAAAAACCUUACCUACCCUUGACAUGUAUGNAAU